rnacentral:rRNA from 1 species
GACAGAGGUGGCAAGCGUUGUUCGGAUUUACUGGGCUUAAAGGGCGUGUAGGCGUCCUAGUAAGUCAGAUGUGGAAGCCUUGGGCUCAACCCAAGAAUUGCAUUUGAAACUAUUAGGAUUGAGUCGUGCAAGGGAGGGCGGAAUCCCUGGUGUAGCGGUGAAAUGCGUAGAUAUCAGGAGGAAGGCCGGUGGCGAAGGUGGCCCUCUGGGCAAUGACUGACGCUGAGGCGCGAAAGCGUGGGUAGCAAACAGGAUUAGAUACCCUGGUAGUCCACGCCCUAAACGGUGCGUACUAGGUGUGGGUGGCGAUAGUCAUCCGUGCCGAAGGGAAACCAUUAAGUACGCCGCCUGGGGAGUACGGCCGCAAGGUUGAAACUCAAAGAAAUUGACGGGGGCCCGCACAAGCGGUGGAGCAUGUGGUUUAAUUCGACGCUACGCGCAAAACCUUACCUGGGCUUGACAUGUUAGUAGUAGUGAACCGAAAGGGGAACGAUUCCGAGAAAUCGGAAAGCUUUCACAGGUGCUGCAUGGCUGUCGUCAGCUCGUGCCGUGAGGUGUUGGGUUAAGUCCCGCAACGAGCGCAACCCUCAUCCUCUGUUGCCCUUUAGGGGGCUCUCUGAGGAAACUGCCGGCGAAGAGCUGGAGGAAGGUGGGGAUGACGUCAAGUCCGCAUGGCCUUUAUGCCCAGGGCUACACACGUGCUACAAUGGUAGAUACAGAGGGUGGCCAAAUCGCGAGGUGGAGCCAAUCCCGUAAAGUCUAUCCAAGUUGGGAUCGGAGUCUGCAACUCGACUCCGUGAACCUGGAAUCGCUAGUAAUCGUGGAUCAGCAUGCCACGGUGAAUACGUUCCCGGGCCU